CAGGCUGUGAGCGCUAGGGGCGUGGCUGGUUCCCUGCAGCGGACGAGGCGCACCUGCAUUCCAUCCCAAUCAUCCCCUCUAUAAAGAUCUGGUCCGCUCAACAGGCCGGCGCCAGAUUAUUCCAUAUAUCAUGAACCUCCGUGUGCCUCUUCGCUCGGCUGUCCUCCUCGCCUCUCCGUGGAUCCUCCAGCCAGCCUGCACCCUGCCGCUCCAGCCUGUACCUGCCUACACAGUCAAUAAACUGUUACCUUUUUCACUA